rnacentral:tRNA from 1 species
GGGGAUAUGGUAUAAUUGGUAAGUAUACCUCGGUUGCAUUGAGGCUUGGUGCAGGUUCGAGUCCUGCUAUCUCCA